rnacentral:lncRNA from 1 species
AGAAUAUCUAAGUUGCUCUUCUGCUGAAUUAAACAGGUACAGCAUAUGUCGGUAAGUGAUAUAAGGCAAAUACAACAAAUGUCUGAAAAUCAUGCUUUGGUAAAAGUAUUGGAGGACUUAACUGUGUUUAUCAAAUUGAAGGAAGACUAUGUGAGAAUGAAACAGACUUUGGAGUAGGCAGAAGUACGGCAGCUUCCAAUCUUAGCUGCAGAGCCCUAUGACCCUGGCUAAGCAGCUCUAAAGCUGGCAAAGGACAAGCCUUCAACAUGAAAGGGUGCAGGGCUCCCACUAGAAGAGGAAAGAAAGCAUGGAUUCUUCUCCAGAAAUGCUCCUUUAAUAAUUAACUUUGGAGACAGAGUUGAAGCCACAAGCAAAUGGCAAUGAAGCCAAUGGUCCAAGACACCAGAAAAAUUUUCGGUGGCAAAACACCAAGUACAGGCAAGGAAUUCAAAGU